rnacentral:rRNA from 1 species
GGGGGGGGGGGGGGGGGGGGGGGGGGGGGGCGGGGGGGGGGGGGGGGGGGGGCGGGGGUGGGGUGGGCGGGGGGCGGGGGGGUGCGUGGCCCGUGGGUCGCCUGCCCUUGCCUUUGGGAUGACUUCAGGCAACUGGGGCUAAUGCCGGAUAGGAGCUCCUGCUGCAUGGUGGGGGUUGGGAAGUUUCGGCGGUUGGGGAUGGACUCGCGGCUGAUCAGCUUGUUGGUGGGGUAGUGGCUUACCAAGGAUUUGACGGGUAGCCGGGCUGAGAGGGUGACCGGCCACAAUGGGACUGAGAUACGGCCCAGACUCCUACGGGAGGCAGCAGUGGGGAAGAUGGCACAAUGGGCGGAAGCCUGAUGCAGCAACGCCGCGUGCGGGAUGACGGCCUUCGGGUUGUAAACCGCUUUAGCCUGUGACGAAGCGGGAGUGACGGUAAUGGGUAAAGAAGCACCGGCUAACUACGUG